rnacentral:rRNA from 1 species
GCACGAAAGUGUGACGGAGCGACGCCGCGUGUGUGAUGAAGGCUUUCGGGUCGUAAAGCACUGUUGUAAGGGAAGAAUAACUGAAUUCAGAGAAAGUUUUCAGCUUGACGGUACCUUACCAGAAAGGGAUGGCUAAAUACGUGCCAGCAGCCGCGGUAAUACGUAUGUCCCGAGCGUUAUCCGGAUUUAUUGGGCGUAAAGCGAGCGCAGACGGUUUAUUAAGUCUGAUGUGAAAUCCCGAGGCCCAACCUCGGAACUGCAUUGGAAACUGAUUUACUUGAGUGCGAUAGAGGCAAGUGGAACUCCAUGUGUAGCGGUGAAAUGCGUAGAUAUGUGGAAGAACACCAGUGGCGAAAGCGGCUUGCUAGAUCGUAACUGACGUUGAGGCUCGAAAGUAUGGGUAGCAAACGGGAUUAGAUACCCCGGUAGUCCAUACCGUAAACGAUGGGUGCUAGUUGUUAAGAGGUUUCCGCCUCCUAGUGACGUAGCAAACGCAUUAAGCACCCCGCCUGAGGAGUACGGCCGCAAGGCUAAAACUUAAAGGAAUUGACGGGGACCCGCACAAGCGGUGGAGCAUGUGGUUUAAUUCGAAGAUACGCGAAAAACCUUACCAGGUCUUGACAUACCAAUGAUCGCUUUUGUAAUGAAAGCUUUUCUUCGGAACAUUGGAUACAGGUGGUGCAUGGU